GACGAACGCUGGCGGCGUGCCUAAUACAUGCAAGUAGGACGCAGUUGCGAACGGGUGAGUAACUCGUAGGUAACUACCUAUUAGAGGGGGAUAACUAUUGGAAACGAUAGCUAAUACCGCAUACUAGUAGAUGGACCUGCGUUGUAUUAGCUAGUAGGUUGGGUAAUGGCCUACCUAGGCAACGAUACAUAGCCGUCCUUGGAGGGUUAGCUGCCACACUGGGACUGAGACACGGCCCAGACUCCUACGGUAGGCAGCAGUAGGGAGUCUUCGGGCAUGGGGGUAACCCUGACCGAGCAACGCCGCGUGAGUGAAGAAGCUUUUCGGAUCGUAAAGCUCUGUUGUUAAGGGAGCGGUACUUAACCAGAAAGGGACGGCUAACUCCGUGCCAGCAGCCGCGGUAAUUC
rnacentral:rRNA from 1 species